rnacentral:rRNA from 1 species
ACGGGUGAGUAAUAUAUCGGAACGUACCCUGGAGUGGGGGAUAACGUAGCGAAAGUUACGCUAAUACCGCAUACGAUCUAAGGAUGAAAGCAGGGGACCGCAAGGCCUUGUGCUCCUGGAGCGGCCGAUAUCUGAUUAGCUAGUUGGUGGGGUAAAGGCCUACCAAGGCAUCGAUCAGUAGCUGGUCUGAGAGGACGACCAGCCACACUGGAACUGAGACACGGUCCAGACUCCUACGGGAGGCAGCAGUGGGGAAUUUUGGACAAUGGGCGCAAGCCUGAUCCAGCAAUGCCGCGUGAGUGAAGAAGGCCUUCGGGUUGUAAAGCUCUUUUGUCAGGGAAGAAACGGUGGGGGCUAAUAUCUCCUGCUAAUGACGGUACCUGAAGAAUAAGCAUCGGCUAACUACGUGCCAGCAGCCGCGGUAAUACGUAGGGUGCAAGCGUUAAUCGGAAUUACUGGGCGUAAAGCGUGCGCAGGCGGUUUUGUAAGUCUGUCGUGAAAUCCCCGGGCUCAACCUGGGAAUUGCGAUGGAGACUGCAAGGCUAGAAUCUGGCAGAGGGGGGUAGAAUUCCACGUGUAGCAGUGAA